CCAGACUCCUACGGGAGGCAGCAGUAGGGAAUCUUCGGCAAUGGACGGAAGUCUGACCGAGCAACGCCGCGUGAGUGAAGAAGGUUUUCGGAUCGUAAAGCUCUGUUGUAAGAGAAGAACGAGUGUGAGAGUGGAAAGUUCACACUGUGACGGUAUCUUACCAGAAAGGGACGGCUAACUACGUGCCAGCAGCCGCGGUAAUACGUAGGUCCCAAGCGUUGUCCGGAUUUAUUGGGCGUAAAGCGAGCGCAGGCGGUUAGAUAAGUCUGAAGUUAAAGGCUGUGGCUUAACCAUAGUACGCUUUGGAAACUGUUUAACUUGAGUGCAAGAGGGGAGAGUGGAAUUCCAUGUGUAGCGGUGAAAUGCGUAGAUAUAUGGAGGAACACCGGUGGCGAAAGCGGCUCUCUGGCUUGUAACUGACGCUGAGGCUCGAAAGCGUGGGGAGCAAACAGGAUUAGAUACCCUGGUAGUCCACGCCGUAAACGAUGAGUGCUAGGUGUUAGACCCUUUCCGGGGUUUAGUGCCGCAGCUAACGCAUUAAGCACUCCGCCUGGGGAGUACGACCGCAA
rnacentral:rRNA from 1 species